UUCCACCAUUGAGGUCUUGGUUGGAUUGCUCUUUGUCAGAGUCCUCCCCGUCGACCUUACCGCCAUGGGUGGCCCUAUCAGGAGCAUAGCUCUAGACGGCAUCGCUCUGAGGAUCUCAGGACCAAACAAGCUUCUCCACCACGACAAGG